CUCUGUUCUGCAGUCCUGUGGUCUUGUGAUCUGUGCUCAGUAGCGAACAGUCAAUGUAAUUUCCUGGAUAAGAGGCCUUUUAAGAGGUGUUUUCAUGUGCUAAAAUAGUUUCUAUAAAGCUUUAAACAGAGCUAAAUUGUGGAGAGGCCUUUGAGCAUACACGUCUGACUUUAUCAGUGCUGACUCAUUAGAGCUACUUGCCAUGAUGCAUAUCUUUGUGUAGUGAUCUGCCUUUUUUACUAAACUGUUCUAAAUGAAAGACAAUGUAGAAAUGAUAUAAAAGGAUAUAUCUGCCCUUCUAUUGAAGGGUUCUUGCUUCACACAUGUAGUCCCUGUUGCUGUGCAAUAAAAUCAAAUAGCAAAUUCUAAAAUCCAUAGAGUCAACUGAAACGUUUUAAAGAUGAAAUUGCAUCUGGUUCUCUUAUGCUUUGUGCUUUACUGUCUUGUGUUACCAAUCUAAAUCUAUUUGUGGAAGUUCUGCUUGUAGUGGCAGAACUAUAAAAUAACCUAAGAGGUAUCCGUGGAAAUGUCAUAAAGAGUUUAUGAUGUUCAUAAGGAGGCUUGUCACUGCCACCCCAGCUUUUCAUUUAAGAAAAGCCUGCUUUGUAGACUGAUGGAGUAAUGCACAAUAAUCCUAAAAGGGUCUUCAAGAUGGAGUUCUUAUGAAGUCAUGUGAUUUUAUGCCAUUUAGAUGAUCUGUUUUCAUGGAAGAGGUUGUGCCCAUCCAGGAAUAUUGCAGGGCAGUAAUUAGGACAAUCUUGAAGCACCAGACGAGAGACCCAACCUGAAGCUGGAGCUCCCAGAGUGAGGAAAAUCAGGAUGUAUUUCAUCGGAUGGAACGAUGUGAAUGGAUGGCUGGACUCUCAGCUCCUGUGGAAACAGCUUCAGUACCAGCCCAUUUUGAAUUUGCUUGUGCCAUUAGGUGGUGCUUUCAAGCUUCUCUAGCAUGAAGAAAGAAGCAAAGGAGGGCUGAGCUUUGUGCAGGACAGGCUUUCACAGGGCUGAGGAGGGUGCAGUAACCAAGCCCAGCUGUGUUGGACCAGGAUGCAACUGAGGGGUUGUGGGAGA
ensembl:lncRNA